rnacentral:ncRNA from 2 species
AAAGAUAGCUGGGGGAGCCCUGUUGCGGGGCUGAGAGCCUUUUUUUGAGGGCGACCCUUGGAACCUGAUCCGGGUAGUGCCGGCGUAGGGAAGGCGAGCAUGAAAUAAC